GUGCCAGCAGCCGCGGUAAUACGUAGGUGGCAAGCGUUGUCCGGAUUUAUUGGGUUUAAAGGGUGCGUAGGCGGUCCUAUAAGUCAGUUGUGAAAUACGGCAGCUUAACUGUCGAGGUGCAAUUGAUACUGCAGGACUUGAGUACAGACGAGGUAGGCGGAAUUGACGGUGUAGCGGUGAAAUGCUUAGAUAUCGUCAAGAACACCGAUAGCGAAGGCAGCUUACUAGACUGUAACUGACGCUGAUGCACGAAAGUGUGGGGAUCAAACAGGAUUAGAUACCCUGGUAGUCC
rnacentral:rRNA from 1 species